GAUGAACGCUAGCGGGAGGCCUAACACAUGCAAGCCGAGCGGUAUUGUUUCUUCGGAAAUGAGAGAGCGGCGUACGGGUGCGUAACACGUGUGCAACCUGCCUUUAUCUGGGGGAUAGCCUUUCGAAAGGAAGAUUAAUACUCCAUAAUAUAUUGAACGGCAUCGUUUAAUAUUGAAAGCUCCGGCGGAUAGAGAUGGGCACGCGCAAGAUUAGCUAGUUGGUGAGGUAACGGCUCACCAAGGCGAUGAUCUUUAGGGGGCCUGAGAGGGUGAUCACCCACACUGGUACUGAGACACAGACCAGACUCCUACGGGAGGCAGCAGUGAGGAAUAUUGGUCAAUGGGUGCAAGCCUGAACCAGCCAUCCCGCGUGAAGGACGACUGCCCUAUGGGUUGUAAACUUCUUUUGUAUAGGGAUAAACCUACCCUCGUGAGGGUAGCUGAAGGUACUAUACGAAUAAGCACCGGCUAACUCCGUGCCAGCCGCCGCCGUAACAC
rnacentral:rRNA from 1 species